UACAGAGGGUGCAAGCGUUGUUCGGAAUUAUUGGGCGUAAAGCGCGUGUAGGCGGCUUUGCAAGUCGGGUGUGAAAGCCCUCAGCUCAACUGAGGAAGUGCGCCCGAAACUGCAGAGCUUGAGUGCCGGAGAGGGUGGCGGAAUUCCCCAAGUAGAGGUGAAAUGCGCAGAUAUCAGGAGGAACACCGGUGGCGAAGGCGGGCGAC
rnacentral:rRNA from 1 species